CUUUGUUUUGCACCGAAACAGCAGAGGAGUGCUUAAGCAAGCACAGACAUCAGCUGAUACAGAGCAAUUCUGAGUCUGUUGCCAGAGUAGCUGUAUGAUUCACAGCUCCUGCUGCACAAAGGAAGAGUUCAGUCUUCCCUGAGAAUCAGGCUCAUCCUUGGUACUCUGUUUCAAGGUUUCCAGAUAUUUCAGGAAGAAAACAGAACCUCUGGAGAGACCAAGAGGAAUGAUCUGAAAAUUAAGGCAAAGAUUGUAACUUAAGUGUAACUUAAGUGAAAAUUUGUCUUGAAGAGCAAAUAUGUCUGAUGCUAGUUAAUAUUGAGUCCUACUGCAUUUAUAUACUCCUGAACAGUUGAGUUCAGCAUAGAGGAAUGACAAAGAAUGAAGAGUGAAAGAUCUACUUCAGUAAAAUAUUCAAGAAGUGUUUUGUGAAUGCACGAAAUGGAUCCCUGUGGAGAUGGAGAAUGAGAUGAAGAGAAAUCAGAAAGACUGAUUAUGCUGAAACCAGUGCUACAAAAGAGGAUGCUUGAAAGGACAAGUGUGUUUCUCAGCCACUUGUCCUUCAAACAACAUGAUUGUCCUUGUAUGUAUCUGCUUCAUCCAGUUUAUCAGCAUCUCUCUUGAUAAACAUGUAUUUCCACAGUCAUUCAGUGAGUCAACAUGUUUGGAAACAAAACGCAGCAUUCCUUCUUGUUCAAAUGAAACAAAGAUUCAGGAAUUACUUACUAUACCUGACUUUUGUGUCUCAUCCAAAUUGAAGAUGCUAAGCACUCCUGGCACUGAAAACAAACAAAAAUCUGCACAGUUAAGGCAGAGAGUGGGAAUUGAAACUGGAAAAUCUGGAUGGUGAGAAAAUUAACAGGAACAACAAAAUGUAUUAGAUCAUGAUAAAAUUAUUUGUCUCACAGCCAUAAACAAUGUAAAGGGGAUUUAAUAAUUGUUUUGUCAAGAAGACCUUGUUGUAGACAAAGACUCAUGCAAUAACUGUUGUAAAGGUACACCACAAAACAAGAAAGCAUUCUCUGACUGCAGCAGAGUUACAAAUGUACAUGUAAAUGCGUAUGCAAUCCGAGAAACUGAUUGCAACUAUCAAUAGGGAUUUCUGUGAACAUCUGAUCACACGUGCAGUGUAACAAAUACAUUGGGCACAGAUAGUAAGUAGAGAGUCCAAACUCUAACUCAUAGAAUGAAAAACUCAUCUUGUCACCAAAAGAUAGGUUUAAUUUUUUUCCUUAUUUCCUUGUUUCCUUUUUUUUUUUUUUUUUUUUUUUUUUUUUUAGAAGUGAAGCCAAACAGUUUCAGGAGGAGCAGAACUAACAUAUCCAGAUUUCAUAUGGAUUUUUUUCAUAUGGAUCCCAUCCCUUAUGUUUUCUUCCUUGUCUCCACUGCUACCCUGUAUGUUUUGCUGAGUUAAAACAGCAGCACAUAUGUAUAGUUAGAAAAUAAUCAUAAUGUGCUGACUUACUGGCUGAGUGUUACCACUUGAUUACAUAAGAGCCCGAGUUAUAAGUUUUUAUUUAAUGAUCUACUCAGCCAAGUAUUAAUACAACUUGUAAGAAUUUAAUUUAAGGCAAUCCCUUGUGUCAGACUCAAUUGAAUAUGGUUAAUAUAUUUAAAAGUUGGAGGGGAGAACAGUGCUGCACCAGAAAGUCAAUCUGACUGAGGCAACAGAGCAUCUUACAAGCACCACAGGGAAGUGUACUCUUCCUCAUUAAAACUGCAGCAUAAGGUCUCUGAGGAAUGGGAUAUUCUGUUAUGUUUCAUUGCUGGGUAGCAGAGGAGUGGUCUGACAAAAUGGCGUCUUACAUGGAAGUUUGUAUAAAGCAAAGGUGUGUCACUGAAUUCCUUUGUGUGGAAAAAAUGGCACCUCCUGACAUUCAUCAACACUUGCUGAAGGUUUAUGGAGACCUAACAGUGGAUGUGAGCACAGUGAAGUGGUGUGUUUCAGCAGUGUUGACAGUGAUGCGAAAGAACAGCUCAUUCAGCUAUAGGCUAGAUCACUUAAGCUCUCUUGGGCUUCACGAUUGAAAUGUAUGUAUUCUUGUAAUAGAGAAUAGAUUGGAAAACCAGAGUAACCUCCAGUUUAUAAUGGUUUGUGCAUUCUUUGUAAUUGUGGAUUUGAAACAAAAAACUGUGCUCCCCUCAAUCCUCCCCAGCUAAAGAGCUUCUCUGUAAGAAAUAGUGUAUAUGCUCUAAGUCUGUUUUCAUAACAGAUUUGAAUCUCUUAUGUUUCUAUAAUAUUCAGUUUAUUCAAAUUAUCCUUCAUUUGAAUAAUGCUUUAUAAUUUGUUGUAGAUGUAACGCAAGCUGCCUAUGAAAAUUUCAAACUAACUUUGUUUUUCAGAGUCACUCUUUGACUUUUUUUGUUCUUUUUUUUUUAAAUUAUUUUUCUUAAUACAUCUUAUUCUGAUUUUCUUGGCUUAGUUUUUAUUUCUUUGUUUUCUGUUGUUACAAUUUAAGCAUUUUGUCCAGUCUUUGUGAAAGCAGUGUAAUCAAUUCAGUAUAGCAUUAAAAUAAUUCAGUGUAUAAUUAACUUCAGGUUUUUCAAUACUUUCUUUUGAUAUGAUGUACAAAGUUAUUUCCCUUAUGAAUUUCAAUAAGUUAAAGCUCUUCAGUGCUUAAUGAAACAUUAAAGAAAAAAUGGUGUAUCACACUAGCAGUAUUUUCUACCAUCUCCAUCUUUAAAACAAGUGGCAAAUCCAUGCAUGUAACUUCUGCAUUUCCUAACUAUGUUUAUGGAGUAUAAGGAAUAAAUACAAACACCAUCUAACUGCU
ensembl:lncRNA